ACUGCGUACCUUUUGUAUAAUGGGUCAGCGACUUAUAUUCUGUAGCAAGGUUAACCGAAUAGGGGAGCCGGAGGGAAACCGAGUCUUAAUUGGGCGUUAAGUUGCAGGGUAUAGACCCGAAACCCGGUGAUCUAGCCAUGGGCAGGUUGAAGGUUGGGUAACACUAACUGGAGGACCGAACCGACUAAUGUUGAAAAAUUAGCGGAUGACCUGUGGCUGGGGGUGAAAGGCCAAUCAAACCGGGAGAUAGCUGGUUCUCCCCGAAAGCUAUUUAGGUAGCGCCUCGUGAAUUCAUCUCCGGGGGUAGAGCACUGUUUCGGCUAGGGGGCCAUCCCGGCUUACCAACCCGAUGCAAACUGCGAAUACCGGAGAAUGUUAUCACGGGAGACACACGGCGGGUGCUAACGUCCGUCGUGAAGAGGGAAACAACCCAGACCGCCAGCUAAGGUCCCAAAGUCAUGGUUAAGUGGGAAACGAUGUGGGAAGGCCCAGACAGCCAGGAUGUUGGCUUAGAAGCAGCCAUCAUUUAAAGAAAGCGUAAUAGCUCACUGGUCGAGUCGGCCUGCGCGGAAGAUGUAACGGGGCUAAACCAUGCACCGAAGCUGCGGCAGCGAACGUAUCACCCAAGACAACUUUACGGAGUUGACGAUUGACGGAGCGAAGCGACGUCAAAGCGUUCAUUAAAGUCGAGUUGGCUUAGGGAUACGUUCGUUGGGUAGGGGAGCGUUCUGUAAGCCUGUGAAGGUGUGUCGUGAGGCAUGCUGGAGGUAUCAGAAGUGCGAAUGCUGACAUAAGUAACGAUAAAGCGGGUGAAAAGCCCGCUCGCCGGAAGACCAAGGGUUCCUGUCCAACGUUAAUCGGGGCAGGGUGAGUCGACCCCUAAGGCGAGGCCGAAAGGCGUAGUCGAUGGGAAACGGGUUAAUAUUCCCGUACUUGGUGUUACUGCGAAGGGGGGACGGAGAAGGCUAUGUUGGCCGGGCGACGGUUGUCCCGGUUUAAGCGUGUAGGUGUGUGUUCCAGGUAAAUCCGGUUCACUUUAACACUGAGGCGUGACGACGAGGCACUACGGUGCUGAAGCAACAAAUGCCCUGCUUCCAGGAAAAGCCUCUAAGCAUCAGGUAACACGAAAUCGUACCCCAAACCGACACAGGUGGUCAGGUAGAGAAUACCAAGGCGCUUGAGAGAACUCGGGUGAAGGAACUAGGCAAAAUGGUGCCGUAACUUCGGGAGAAGGCACGCUGACACGUAGGUGAAGUGAUUUACUCAUGGAGCUGAAGUCAGUCGAAGAUACCAGCUGGCUGCAACUGUUUAUUAAAAACACAGCACUGUGCAAACACGAAAGUGGACGUAUACGGUGUGACGCCUGCCCGGUGCCGGAAGGUUAAUUGAUGGGGUCAGCGCAAGCGAAGCUCCUGAUCGAAGCCCCGGUAAACGGCGGCCGUAACUAUAACGGUCCUAAGGUAGCGAAAUUCCUUGUCGGGUAAGUUCCGACCUGCACGAAUGGCGUAAUGAUGGCCAGGCUGUCUCCACCCGAGACUCAGUGAAAUUGAACUCGCUGUGAAGAUGCAGUGUACCCGCGGCAAGACGGAAAGACCCCGUGAACCUUUACUAUAGCUUGACACUGAACAUUGAGCCUUGAUGUGUAGGAUAGGUGGGAGGCUUUGAAGUGUGGACGCCAGUCUGCAUGGAGCCGACCUUGAAAUACCACCCUUUAAUGUUUGAUGUUCUAACGUGGACCCGUAAUCCGGGUUGCGGACAGUGUCUGGUGGGUAGUUUGACUGGGGCGGUCUCCUCCUAAAGAGUAACGGAGGAGCACGAAGGUUGGCUAAUCCUGGUCGGACAUCAGGAGGUUAGUGCAAUGGCAUAAGCCAGCUUGACUGCGAGCGUGACGGCGCGAGCAGGUGCGAAAGCAGGUCAUAGUGAUCCGGUGGUUCUGAAUGGAAGGGCCAUCGCUCAACGGAUAAAAGGUACUCCGGGGAUAACAGGCUGAUACCGCCCAAGAGUUCAUAUCGACGGCGGUGUUUGGCACCUCGAUGUCGGCUCAUCACAUCCUGGGGCUGAAGUAGGUCCCAAGGGUAUGGCUGUUCGCCAUUUAAAGUGGUACGCGAGCUGGGUUUAGAACGUCGUGAGACAGUUCGGUCCCUAUCUGCCGUGGGCGCUGGAGAACUGAGGGGGGCUGCUCCUAGUACGAGAGGACCGGAGUGGACGCAUCACUGGUGUUCGGGUUGUCAUGCCAAUGGCACUGCCCGGUAGCUAAAUGCGGAAGAGAUAAGUGCUGAAAGCAUCUAAGCACGAAACUUGCCCCGAGAUGAGUUCUCCCUGAGACUUAGAGUCUCCUGAAGGAACGUUGAAGACGACGACGUUGAUAGGCCGGGUGUGUAAGCGCAGCGAUGCGUUGAGCUAACCGGUACUAAUGAACCGUGAGGCUUAACCUUACAACGCCGAAG
rnacentral:rRNA from 1 species